rnacentral:rRNA from 1 species
CCCUUAGAUGUUCUGGGCAGCACGCGCGCUACAAUGGUCUUCGCAAACGGAUGCAUUCUCGAAGGAGAAUGCCAAUCUUGGAAUCUAUGCCUUGGUCGGGACAGUUGCUUGCAAUUUUUCGACUCGAACCAGGAAUUCCUUGUAAUCGUGAUUCAUCACAUCACGAUGUAUACGUCCCUGCCCUUUGUACACACCGCCCGUCGCUCCUACCGAUCGAAGAGUUAGGUGAAUUGUUUUGAUCGAUAAGAUUUGACUAUGGUCAACUCUCGUUGUGAAAUUCUGUGAAUCUGACUGUUUAGAGGAAGGAAAAGUCGUAACA